CACAUAUCCACCUUUCUAUUGUUCAAAUAACUCUAAAGCAGCACAAUAUUUAUUAACUGUAUAUUCAUUACGAACAUUAAUCCACACGUAUGUUUUGUCACCUAAUUAGAAUUGUGUAUUUAGAAGUACAAUAUGAAUAAGUCAAAAAUAAGAUGUAGCACAAUAAUCAUUUUGCCUGCAUGUGGGCAAUUGUAAUCUCUAUGCUUGCUAAACAAAAUUAUAAUUAAUAAUGGGUUUCUGUAGCUCGAAACUGGCAUCCGCAUGUCACAAUUUGUAUUAUUUAAUUUUUUGUAUUUUUACAUUUCUUUUGCUAUAUUCUUCAUUACCUUCAGCAAUACCAUAGAAAUCUUCUAGUUACACACUGCUCCCUGCUGUUGAAAUGCAAUAUUUCAUAUCUGAAUUGUCAACUGAAAACCAAAUAAAAUUUGCCAACAAUUGCAUUUCUUUUGAUUUUGUUAAACUGAUUUGGGAUAAAAUAAAGCACUUUCGUAUAAUUUGUUCAUUAUAAAAAAAGAAUAAACCUUGCUAACAAACAAUUGGUAAAAAAAUGUAAUACAAUACAAACUAUAGAAAAUACACAACCACGUUUAUGUAAUUAUAAUAAAG